rnacentral:rRNA from 1 species
AUUGAACGCUGGCGGCAGGCCUAACACAUGCAAGUCGAACGGUAACAGGAAGAAGCUUGCUUCUUUGCUGACGAGUGGCGGACGGGUGAGUAAUGUCUGGGAAACUGCCUGAUGGAGGGGGAUAACUACUGGAAACGGUAGCUAAUACCGCAUAACGUCGCAAGACCAAAGAGGGGGACCUUCGGGCCUCUUGCCAUCGGAUGUGCCCAGAUGGGAUUAGCUAGUAGGUGGGGUAACGGCUCACCUAGGCGACGAUCCCUAGCUGGUCUGAGAGGAUGACCAGCCACACUGGAACUGGGACACGGUCCAGACUCCUACGGGAGGCAGCAGUGGGGAAUAUUGCACAAUGGGCGCAAGCCUGAUGCAGCCAUGCCGCGUGUAUGAAGAAGGCCUUCGGGUUGUAAAGUACUUUCAGCGGGGAGGAAGGGAGUAAAGUUAAUACCUUUGCUCAUUGACGUUACCCGCAGAAGAAGCACCGGCUAACUCCGUGCCA